GAUAUCAGGAGGACUAAGAGCUUUGGCCUGAAAAGUCACAGGGAAUAAACAUGUAGUCAUGGAUCAAAUGAGCCUUCUGCCUGUUUGGCCAGGCUUAGAAGCCCUUCCCCUUUUUCCCAAGCACCGAGUAAACUACAUUUGUUUUCAGACAUUUUAUUUUAUUUUUGAUUUUUAGGGCUACACCCGUGGCAUAUGGAAGUUCCCACGCUAGGGGUCCAAUUGGAGCUAUAGCUGCCGGCCUACAGAUCUGAGCCAUGUCUGUGACCUACACCACAGCUUAUGGCAAUACCGGAUCCUUAACCUGCUGAGCGAGGCCAGGGAUUGAACCUGCAUCCUCUUGGAUCCUAGUCAGGUUUGUUAACUGCUGAGUCACAAUAGUAACUCCUGUUUUCACACAUUUUAGAAUCCCAAAAUAUGACUGAGACUACCUCUUUUAUCUUUUUAGAGAGGGUGGACUUCUAUCUACAUUUAGAAAAUAAGGUAGUAUGCUAUGUCUUGCACCUAAGUGUUGUAGAGAAAAUUCAUCUCUGUAACCUAAUAUCUACUAAGCAGGAUUAGUCUGAGAAUGAGAGCUAAGGUACAUAGAACACUUAGUACGGUAUCUGGCACACAGUAGGCAUGCUGGGAAAUCGUUAAUAAUUGUUAUUUAGGAUACUCUUAUUUCAUCACCAAAAUAAUCUCCCACCCAAGAUUGGUGAAGCUGGAGAUGCUUCUGUUUCUUUUUAAGUUAAAAAAUAGAUUUUUUUAAAAAGAACAAUUUUAGGUUCGCUGAAAAGAUAUGAACAAAAGGUACAGAGAUUUUCCACAUAUUCUCUGCCCCCACACAUGCAUAGCCUCCCCCAUCUGCAUCUCUUUUCAAACAAAAGACUAAUAGUUCAUGACAUUGACCCUAGAAUGCCAGCAUUGAAAUGGUUCUCUAUUAGGGGAGACUGGGUCACAAGAGUAAAUAGGCACAAAAUGUGAUGACUUGACACAAUAGACAUUUCUUUUAAAAUAUUUUUAUUGUAGUUGAUUUACAGUGUUCUGUCAAUUUCUGCUGUAUAGCAAAGUGACCCAGUUGUAUGAAAGUAACCCAGUUAUACAUAUAUACAUUCUUUUUUCUCACAUUACCCAGCUUCAAGUUCUAUCACAAGUGGUUAGAUAUAGUUUCCUGUGGUAUACAGCAAUACCUCAUUUCUUAUCUACUCCAACUGCAAUAAUUUGCAUUUCCUAACCCUAAAGUCCCAGUCUAUCCCACUGCCUCCCUCUCCCCCUUGGCAGCCACAAGUCUGUUCUCCAUGUCCAUGAGUUUGUUUCUUUUCUGUAGAUAGGUUCAUUUGUGUCGUAUAUUAGAUUACAGAUAUGAGUGAUAUCAUAGGGUAUUUGUCUUUCUGACUUCACUCAGGAUGAGAAUCUCUAGUUGCAUCCAUGUUGCUGCGAAUGGCAUUAUUGUGUUCUUUUUUUAUGGCUGAGUAGUAUUCCAUUGUGUAUAUAUACUACAUCUUCCUAAUCCAAUAAUCUGUCAGUGGACAUUUGGGUUGAUUCCAUGUCUUGGCUAUUGUGAAUAGUGCUGCAACGAACAUGUGGGUGCAUGUGUCUUUUUUAAGGAGAGUUAUAUCCGGAUAUAUGCUCAAGAGUGGGAUUGCUGGGUCAUAUGGUAGUCCUAUGUAUAGAAUUCUAAGGUACCUCCAUACUGUUUUCCAUGGUGGUUGUACCAAUUUACAUUCCCACCAAUAGUGUAGGAGGGUACUGUUUUCUCCAUACCCUCUCCAGCAUUUGUUAUUUGUCACAGACAAGGCUUGGAUCCCACAUGGCUAUGGCUGUGGCAUAGGCUGGCGGCUAUAGCUCUUGACUUGACUCCUAACCUGGGAACCUCCAAAUGCCGUGGGUGCAGCCCUUAAA
ensembl:lncRNA